AUUGAACGCUGGCGGCAGGCUUAACACAUGCAAGUCGAGCGGAGAUGAGGUGCUUGCACCUUAUCUUAGCGGCGGACGGGUGAGUAAUGCUUAGGAAUCUGCCUAUUAGUGGGGGACAACAUUCCGAAAGGAAUGCUAAUACCGCAUACGUCCUACGGGAGAAAGCAGGGGAUCUUCGGACCUUGCGCUAAUAGAUGAGCCUAAGUCGGAUUAGCUAGUUGGUGGGGUAAAGGCCUACCAAGGCGACGAUCUGUAGCGGGUCUGAGAGGAUGAUCCGCCACACUGGGACUGAGACACGGCCCAGACUCCUACGGGAGGCAGCAGUGGGGAAUAUUGGACAAUGGGGGAAACCCUGAUCCAGCCAUGCCGCGUGUGUGAAGAAGGCCUUAUGGUUGUAAAGCACUUUAAGCGAGGAGGAGGCUACUGAGACUAAUACUCUUGGAUAGUGGACGUUACUCGCAGAAUAAGCACCGGCUAACUCUGUGCCAGCAGCCGCCGUAACAC
rnacentral:rRNA from 1 species